rnacentral:rRNA from 1 species
UACGAAGGGUGCAAACGUUGCUCGGAAUCAUUGGGCGUAAAGCGCACGUAGGCGGCGCAGUAAGUCGGACGUGAAAUCCCUCGGCUCAACCGAGGACGUGCAGUGGGUACGGGCAGACUAGAGUGCGGUAGGGGAGAUUGGAAUUCCUGGUGUAGCGGUGAAAUGCGCAGAUAUCAGGAAGAACACCCGUGGCGAAGGCGGUUCUCUGGGACGGUACUGACGCUGGAGACGCGAAAGCGUGGGGAGCGAACAGG